CCUAUAAAAAUAGAGGGAACUGUGUAAGCAAAGAUAAUGAAGAAAUAACAAUCAACAGAGGAGAAAUUCCGGUGCACGCAAAUUCCCCAUAAAAGGAAACAUGUGGAACUUUCAACAAUCUCUUUACAUUGGCAUAACAUGAUAGAGCAGGGGCUACAAACCUUGAUUGAUAUAACAAAGUGACCUCCAGCUUUCAAGAAGUAAGAUGCAUUUAGAGCUAAAAUUCUUGCCUGUGAACAAAAGAGGUUAUUUAAACAUUCGAAUAGAAUUAUACACCACAUACUGCUGUGCUGCAGGACAAGAAUGGAGACUCAAAUAUAGGGGUGGGCGUUCGAUUGCUCGGUUCGGUUUUUUCAAAGUUUGGUUCGGUGUUUCGGUUUCGAUUUUUUUAAAGUGGAAACCGAACACCGCACCGAAUUAGUUCGGUUCGGUUCGGUUUCGGUUUUCUGAUUCGGUUUUUUAGCAUUGGUUAAGCAAUAGUCACCCGUUACUAAAUGAUUCAUGACCAACAGCCAACAGCAGCAGCAGCAGCUGCCCGCAACUGCAGCCACAAAUUCCUAACUUUUUCAUUUUGAUUCAACCAUUUGUUCAACGUACAUGUAAACAUAUAUUAUCCUGAAGGAAGGGUUAGUUAUGAUAAAAGGAAUGGCUAUUAAUCACGCCUAAAA